rnacentral:rRNA from 1 species
GACGAACGCUGGCGGCGUGCUUAACACAUGCAAGUCGAGCGGAGCGGCGAACGGGUGAGUAACGCGUGAGUAACUGCCCCCCUCUCUGGGAUAACAGUUGGAAACGGCUGCUAAUACCGGAUAGUGGGGGAUGACUCGCGUCCUAUCAGCUUGUUGGUGGGGUAGUGGCCUACCAAGGCGACGACGGGUAGCCGGCCUGAGAGGGGGACCAGCCACAUGGGGCUGCGGUACGGCCCAAAGUCCUACGGGGGGCAGCAGUGGCGAAUAUUGCGCAAUGGGGGAAAGCCUAAUGCAGCAACGCGCGGGCGGAAUGUCGGCCUUCGGGUUGUAAACCGAGUUCAGCGAUGACGCGGUAGUGGCAGAAGAAGCACCGGCUAACUACGUGCCAGCAGCCGCGGUAAUUC